rnacentral:rRNA from 1 species
AGAAUCAACGCUGGCGGCGUGCCUAACACAUGCAAGUCGAACGAGAAAGUGGGAGCAAUCCCACGAGUAAAGUGGCGCACGGGUGAGUAACACGUGACUAACCUACCCUUGAGUGGGGGAUAACCUAGGGAAACCUGGCUAAUACCGCAUAAUACCUACGGGUCAAAGGAGCAAUUCGCUUUAGGAGGGGGUCGCGGCAGAUUAGUUAGUUGGCGGGGUAAUGGCCCACAAGACAGUGAUCUGUA